rnacentral:rRNA from 1 species
GCGGCAGGCCUAACACAUGCAAGUCGAGCGGUAGCACAAGAGAGCUUGCUCUCUGGGUGACGAGCGGCGGACGGGUGAGUAAUGUCUGGGAAACUGCCUGAUGGAGGGGGAUAACUACUGGAAACGGUAGCUAAUACCGCAUGACGUCUUCGGACCAAAGUGGGGGACCUUCGGGCCUCACGCCAUCAGAUGUGCCCAGAUGGGAUUAGCUAGUAGGUGGGGUAAUGGCUCACCUAGGCGACGAUCUCUAGCUGGUCUGAGAGGAUGACCAGCCACACUGGAACUGAGACACGGUCCAGACUCCUACGGGAGGCAGCAGUGGGGAAUAUUGCGCAAUGGGCGCAAGCCUGAUGCAGCCAUGCCGCGUGUAUGAAGAAGGCCUUCGGGUUGUAAAGUACUUUCAGCGAGGAGGAAGGCAUUAAGGUUAAUAACCUUAGUGAUUGACGUUACUCGCAGAAGAAGCACCGGCUAACUCCGUGCCAGCAGCCGCGGUAAUACGGGGGGUGCAAGCGUUAAUCGGAAUUACUGGGCGUAAAGCGCACGCAGGCGGUUGAUUAAGUCAGAUGUGAAAUCCCCGAGCUUAACUCGGGAAUGGCAUAUGUGACUGCUCGACUAGAGUGUGUCAGAGGGAGGUGGAAUUCCACGUGUAGCAGUGAAAUGCGUAGAUAUGUGGAAGAACACCGAUGGCGAAGGCAGCCUCCUGGGACAUAACUGACGCUCAGGCACGAAAGCGUGGGGAGCAAACAGGAUUAGAUACCCUGGUAGUCCACGCCCUAAACGAUGUUAACUAGUUGUUGGGAUGUAACAAUCUCAGUAACGCAGCCAACGCGAGAAGUUAACCGCCUGGGAAGUACGGUCGCAAGACUAAAACUCAAAGGAAUUGACGGGGACCCGCACAAGCGGUGGAUGAUGUGGAUUAAUUCGAUGCAACGCGAAAAACCUUACCUACCCUUGACAUGUCAGGAAGCUCUUGUAAUGAGAGCGUGCCCGCAAGGGAGCCUGAACACAGGUGCUGCAUGGCUGUCGUCAGCUCGUGUCGUGAGAUGUUGGGUUAAGUCCCGCAACGAGCGCAACCCUUGUCACUAGUUGCUACGAAAGGGCACUCUAGUGAGACUGCCGGUGACAAACCGGAGGAAGGUGGGGAUGACGUCAAGUCCUCAUGGCCCUUAUGGGUAGGGCUUCACACGUCAUACAAUGGUCGGAACAGAGGGCAGCGAAGCCGUGAGGCGGAGCCAAUCCCAGAAAACCGAUCGUAGUCCGGAUUGCAGUCUGCAACUCGACUGCAUGAAGUCGGAAUCGCUAGUAAUCGCGGAUCAGCAUGCCGCGGUGAAUACGUUCCCGGGUCUUGUACACACCGCCCGUCAAACAAUGGGAGUGGUGUUUACCAGAAGUCGUUAGCCUAACCGCAAGGAGGGCGGCGACCACGGUGAGCACCGU